rnacentral:lncRNA from 1 species
GAGCCGCUGUUUGCCACGGAGAAAGGGGAACCCAUGACCAAAGCCUACCCGCCUCCUCUGCCAGUCCUACGGACUUCCUCCAGAUCACUACACGGCUCAUUCAUUUCGCAUAGGUGCAGCUACAACUUCAGCUAUGACAGCUUCUGUGUCCACCCUCAAAGCCAUGGGCCGAUGGUCGUCUGCCGCGUAUGAACACUACCUGUGCCACUCCCACUUCCUGCCGCUGGCCUUUCACCCAAGCAAGCGUGGAGAACAGGGGGCCCCGAACGGAACCUUGCAUGCGCUCCCUGCUACCGCCUUUCAUGAUGGCUCGUGAUGGGGCUUCCACGCAAGGGGCAGGGAACCGGAACAGAAUCACGCCUCCAAAUUUAACUUUGCACAAUAAAUCUAAAUUUUUUGACAAAGUGUACCUGACUGAAAAGGGCAUUAAAAAGAUUUUGACCAGUUAAUUCUUUAGCCAGAGAGUGCCCCAAAGGCCUUGAAAAGACUUAUUACAUGGGAGAUAGAAACAGACAAUUCGGACAAAUACAAUAAAAUGUGAUCAGGGUAAAGAGAAAUGGAGUGAGCUGUUCCUUUGAUUGACAUCAGUGGUGAAAUUAUGACAAAAUUAUGACAAAAUUUGAAUGUGCAACAAAACCCUAAAAACAAAUUUGUGAGAGAAAAAAACCCCCAAAACUUUCAUCUUCAUCAAAAAUGUUCUCAGACAUAAGGGAUUUUAGCACAUAACUCUCUGGUGUUUGUUAUGGGAUAAAGGGUCAUGAAGGAACAUGUCGUGUAAUGGCACAAAAUCAACCCUGAUGUGAGGAAAAGGAAAAAAAUGACUUAAAUUCAUCAAGCCUAAAAAAUGCUUGUGACCUAUCCCCAGAAAGACUGAAGACACUCAGCCUUUUAUGACUAUUUGGAUGCUUUUGAAUCUGUUUUGAGUACAUGUUAUGAAAGAUGUCUCCCUGUCAGAAACAGUAAACAGAAAAGUACAUUUAGUCUGCUGUAAAAGAGUAAAGGCCAGGCUAAUGUUAGACUCCAGACAUGACUUAUCACGCUAGUCACUGUAUGUGUGUGUUUAUGAGGCGGUGCCAGAGAGAUUUAAGUAAGAUAUUAAGUGAAAGUUAGGAAGAGAUGAGAAGAAUUUUUUUUUUUUCCUCAGAGGGGAAAUUCUAAUAUGAGCCAGGGUCAACCCAUGAUUAAGAGUUUAAUGAAUGAGUUAACAAAAAAGGCUGCAAACAGCUAAAUGUCAUUCAUAGAUGGGUAGAUGGAGAAAAACACAUAAAGGAGGCUAAAAAAAGCAAGUUUUGGGCUGAAUGACAAAUGUAUAUAACAUAAAAAAGAGGACAUAUGAAAUUACAGAAACCGACCGUGUGGUAUGGCCUGUAUGAAAAUCAAGACACAUAUGUUGUCCUUCUAAACAUGCCUGUCUUAAUGUUUUACAUUAGUUUUCCUUAUUGAAUUUAAUGAAUGAGAAUUGUUUCACAGUAAGAAUAGCUUUACAUCAAAACCAACAGAGGUUGUGGUCUUUUGGUAAACAAUGACAGCUGGUUCAUACUUUGGGGCUGAGAGUUUUGGACUGGAUUCACCUCUCAGCUCCAAGCUUCCUUUUUUCUUUUUUUCACUGUCAAACCACAGAUGCUCACUCACAAUCAAUUCAGACUGAUGCGCCAAGGGAGCUUUGAGCUUUCCAAGAAGACAGCUUGUUAGAAAAUGAGAAAGAAGUCGGGUUUUAUGAGGAACCAGAAGGAUUUGAAAAUACUGUCCAGUAUGUACACAAUGAUGAAGAUCGUCAACAGAUGCAAUGUUGAAAAAAGACAAUUGCAGAAUUCAAGAUCAUUCACACAGAGUCAAAUGUUCUCAUCAGACACACGUUCUUGGCAACAGAAAGCCAGCUGGAGUGAAUAACAAGUCGUCCUCUAUCGUAUCAAGACUAUCUCUCCACCAAGUUACAUAUUUCAUAUGGGACUGACCCACGGGGGUCAGGUGACGUGGAUAAUUCUUUAAGACAAACCACCUGUGAGGUGGCUGAUCACUGCACAAAAGCACCUGUGCGCCACACUCUCACUGAUCAUUUUGAUUCCACGAGAGCAGGUUGACGUGUGUUAGUGAGGAGACAGUCUUUGCCACUUACAGUGUGUAAGAGAGAGUGUGAAGUUGCCUCUCGGUGGCUGUUUUCUCCAUAGACAAAGCUGUGUCAGGACUUCUGCUGAAACCAGAGCAGUGGAAAUGGAGGUCCACUUUUUGCCGUGCUGUCGGCAUUCAACGAGUUUUGCAGCCGGUCACUGCGAGCAACGUUACCUGGCGUAUUACUCUGACAAGGAGUUAACGCUUCACAGGUACGGAAGCUAGCCGAACCCAGAGCGGGGGGAGGCAUCCGCCCAUUGCUGCUGUGCUAUCGGCAUGCGAUUUUGUUUGUUUGUCCGCGGUCGCUCUGAGGAGCGGGGGCGUGCUUGCGAUCAGUGUAGCAGGCAGGUCCUUCCGCUUGUAUGAAUUGUUUUAUUUUACCAGCACGAUCCUUAGAGAUCUGUUACUAUGUCUUCAGAGGAAAGCAUAAACAGGCUGCUCAACCCACUGUUUCACAGCAGGCUAAACGCCUUAGGAGGGCGGAGUUUGCAGGUGGCUCUGUGAAGCCCCUUACUGCUCCCCCACUCAGGUCCUUUCUGAGUGAUACAAGGACUGGGGCUGGGAGCCCGGUUGAUGAACAGGAGGAGGCUGAAGAGGCGGAUAUAAUAGGGGCUCACUCCUUAGACAGUGAUCUCCCUUCAGGGCAAUGGGAGGCUGGCCCAGAGUUAGAGGAGGGGGAGCGGGUUGGCGAGCUAUGACAAUUCAGGGGGCUUAUUGAAAGGGUGGCCCAGGCACUGGGGGUUGACUCCACAAUAGACCAGGCACCUGCCCCAUCACGCUUUGAUGAUGGCCGUGAUAUACAGCCUGCCCCUUUUCUGGUGCCUCUUUUCUCAGACGUGGAGGGGUUGAUGCAAGCUUUGUUGGCAAAACCCGCAGACCCACUUAAAUUUUCCCAGUCUUGUAGGUGGUUUUCUGCCAUGCAGGAUAGGGAGAAGGUUGGUUGUGCGGCCAUGCCACAAUUGGACCAGGCCAUUGCGGCUCUCAUGUUCCCUUCCAGCUCGGUGUUAGGGAAAACUAGCUGCCCAACCAGGGAAUGCAGGAUGCUAGACGCUUUACUAGCUAAAGUGCAUAGGACUAUGGCAGUCCAGGCACAGCUGGCUAAUACUGGGUCCAUUUUGGCCCUACAUCAGCGCAUGCUGGCACGGGAGCUGGAUGUCAGGCACAGUGCAGACCUUGUCUCUGAGCUGCAGCUUGUUUCAUCUGUCAUGACACAUGAAAGAGCAGGCAGCAGCUCAGGGAAGGGUAUAGCAUCUCUUUGAGUGACUAGGCGCCAGUUGUGGCUAUCCCAGUCUGAAUUGCAACCAGAGGACCAGAGCAGUCUAUUGAGGUUGCCGGUUGAUCCAUCGGCCAUGUUUGAUCCAGGAGCUAAUGCGUCUCAAUCGAGACAAGAGCAGGCUGGUGCCUUCACAGAGGAUGCAGUUUCUGGGCCUAGUACUGGAUUCCCAGACUACGCUGAUGACACUGACACAGGAGAGGCAGCUGUCCCUGGAAGCUUGCCUCUCACACUUCAGGCUGGGGGCCAGAGUGACAUGGAGGUUGUGUCUCCGCCUCCUGGGGCUCAUGGCCAUAACAACCCAGGCUGUUCCGUUGGCCCUUUUACACAUGCGCCCGGUGCAGAGGUGUCUUUUGGGCCUAGGGCGACGAAGUCACCUGCAGUCCACUGGGCUCGUUACCAGACGGUUACGGUUAGCCCUCCAUUGGAGGGACAAUAUUGGCAGGGGGAGUAUACUGGGGCCAAUGACGCAUCGCCAUCUGGUGGCCAUAGAUGCAUCACUGACAGGUUGGGGAGCAGUGCUCAGAGGGAACGGUGUCAGCAGGUGCUGGCUUGGCCGUUAUGCAGCACAUCAACUUACUGGAGCUGAAGGCAGUCUACCUUGCCCUUCACCAUUUCCUUCUAUACAUCCAGGGCCAACACAUGCUGGUGAGGACAGACAGUGUGGCCGCAGCAGCUAACAUCAACAGGCAGGGCGGCUUGGGUUCCCCUCGCCUCUGCAAACUGGCACACCGACUGUGGCUGUGGCAUACCCAAGGUUUCAAUCCCUGAGGGCAGUACACCUGCCAGGGUUGGACAAUGUGGCAGCGGAUCGAUUGUCCAGGGGAGGGCCAGACCCAGGUGGGUGGAGACUACACCCCCAGGUGGUAGCGGAGCUUUGGCAUCGUUACAGGCAAGCAAUAAUCGACCUGUUCGCAUCGCGGGAAUCCACCCACUGUCCCCUGUUCUUCUCUCUAGGGAGAGAUGAUCCUCCCCUCGGGGCAGAUGCCAUGGCUCAUCCCUGGCCACGCGGCCUACUCUAUGCCUUUCCCCUGUUCAGUCUUCUUCAAUCCCUCCUGCAGAGAGUGCGGGUGGAGGAGGUGAGACUUGUCCUGGUGGCCCUGUUUUGGCCACACAUGACUUGGUUUUCGGACAUCCCGCCACUGUUGGAUGGGACUCCGUGGGAACUCCCACUAUGUCCGGACUUGCUGUCACAGACUCAGGGAACCCUGCUUCAUCCCUUUGCCCAUGGACUCAGGCUCUGGGCCUGGCCCCUGAUGGGACCGAGCUGCUAGCAAUGGGACUGUCACCAUCGGUGAUCCAGACGCUGCAGGGAGCACGUGCUCCAUCGACAAGGGCGCUGUAUGCGCAUAGAUGGAACGUCUUUGUGGCAUGGUGCAGGGAACAUCAAGCGAACCCCCUCACAUGCUCAGACCCUGAGAUUCUGCAGCUCUUGGAUGCAGGGAAAUCACUUUCCACGCUCAGAGGGAUGGUGGCUGUGGUCAAGGCAGCUUGAGUAGGGAGAUACAAGUUGUCUGAGGAUGUGUCCAACCUGGUUUCCCACUUCCUUACAGGGGCUAAGAGACGUGUUGGCCGUUGUUGUAGGCCGCCUCUCCCACCCUGGGAUUUGGAGCUGGUCCUACGGGUCCUGGAAAGGGCCCCGUUUGAGCCCCUGGCGUCAGUGGACAUUAAAUACUCAAUUAAUUUCCACUGCUAUGCAGAUGACACCCAGUUAUACUUAUCCAUGAAGCUAGAUGAAGCAAACCAGGUCACCAAAUUAGAAGCUUGUCUCAAAGAUAUAAAAUCCUGGAUGACCAAUAACUUUCUGAUGCUCAACUCAGACAAAACUGAAGUUCUUGUCCUCGGUCCUAAACACCUUAGAGAGGCAUUCUCUAAUAAUUUAGCUACGCUAGAUGGCAUCAGUCUGGCAUCCAGCCCCACUGUGCGAAAUCUGGGAGUUUUAUUUAAACAGGAUUUGGCCUUUAGCUCCCACAUUCAACAAAUCUCUAAGAUAGCUUUUUUCCACCUGCACAAUAUCUCAAAAAUUAGACCCAUCCUGUCUCAGAGUGAUGCAGAAAAACUAGUCCAUGCCUUUGUUACCUCACGGCUGGACUACUGUAAUGCUCUCUUACCAGGCUGCUCCAGGAAGUCUUUAAGGACUCUUCAGCUGGUCCAAAAUGCAGCAGCUCGGGUAUUGACUAGAACCAGAAGAAGGGAGCACAUCUCUCCUGUCUUCUGCCUCUCUUCAUUGGCUCCCUAUUAAAUCUAGAAUUGAGUUUAACCGUACUUUCCGCCUAGACCGUUACGCUCACAGUCUGCAGGCCUGCUCAUUGUACCAAAUGUCUCUAAAAGUAGUAUUGGAGGAAAAGCUUUCAGCUACCAGGCACCUCUCCUCUGGAAUCAUUUACCGCUCGAGGUUCGGGGGGCAGACACCCUCUCAACUUUCAAGAGUAGACUUAAAACGUUCCUCUUUGAUAAAGCUUAUAGUCGGGGCUGAUUUGAACCAGCUC